rnacentral:rRNA from 1 species
GACGAACGCUGGCGGCGUGCUUAACACAUGCAAGUCGAACGGAAAGGCCCUGCUUGCAGGGUACUCGAGUGGCGAACGGGUGAGUAACACGUGGGUGAUCUGCCCUGCACUUCGGGAUAAGCCUGGGAAACUGGGUCUAAUACCGGAUAGGAGCCAUUUUUAGUGUGAUGGUUGGAAAGUUUUUUCGGUGUAGGAUGAGCUCGCGGCCUAUCAGCUUGUUGGUGGGGUAAUGGCCUACCAAGGCGGCGACGGGUAGCCGGCCUGAGAGGGUGGACGGCCACAUUGGGACUGAGGUACGGCCCCGCCUCCUACGGGAGGCAGCAGUGGGGAAUAUUGCACAAUGGGCGCAAGCCUGAUGCAGCGACGCCGCGUGGGGGAUGACGGCCUUCGGGUUGUAAACUCCUUUCGCUAGGGACGAAGCUUUUUGUGACGGUACCUAGAUAAGAAGCACCGGCUAACUACGUG